AGUCACCUCUGUGCUGGAACACUUUACCACAAUCCAGUCUAGUUCCCAGUGAAGUCAGUGGGCCCAUGAUCAAGCACUACAUGUAUCUUCCAAUCCUACUGGGAACAAGGAACCUAUAGUACUAUUAGAACACUACUCAGUGUUUUAUUUGGGGCUCUUUUAUUAUCCUGGAAAAGAAUGUGAAAAUAUUUUAAGAAAUCAGCUUAAAUGAUAUUGCCCACUGUGACGGGGUGAGGCAACCCCGCCACUACACACAACAAGAGGGACAGGACACCGGAGAGGCGUGUGCCAGCACUGCAUGGGCAGCAGCGAUGCAGGCGCCAACAAGCGCUUACGGGGAGGGGGCUGA